rnacentral:rRNA from 1 species
UACGUAGGGUGCAAGCGUUGCCCGGAAUUAUUGGGCGUAAAGAGCUCGUAGGCGGUCUGUCGCGUCUGCCGUGAAAGUCCGGGGCUCAACUCCGGAUCUGCGGUGGGUACGGGCAGACUAGAGUGAUGUAGGGGAGACUGGAAUUCCUGGUGUAGCGGUGAAAUGCGCAGAUAUCAGGAGGAACACCGAUGGCGAAGGCAGGUCUCUGGGCAUUAACUGACGCUGAGGAGCGAAAGCAUGGGGAGCGAACAGG